rnacentral:rRNA from 1 species
AGAGUUUGAUCAUGGCUCAGGAUGAACGCUGGCGGCGUGCUUAACACAUGCAAGUCGAGCGAGAGAACUCGGAGGAAAACUUCGGUCGGAAUUCGAAUGAUCUAGCGGCGGACGGGUGAGUAACGCGUGGGAAACCUGCCUUGUACAAGGGGAUAGCCUCGGGAAACCGGGAUUAAUACCCUAUGAAACCACAAGAACACAUGUUCUAAUGGUCAAAGCUCCGGCGGUACAAGAUGGUCCCGCGUCUGAUUAGCUAGUUGGAGAGGUAACGGCUCACCAAGGCGACGAUCAGUAGCCGGCCUGAGAGGGUGAACGGCCACACUGGAACUGAGACACGGUCCAGACUCCUACGGGAGGCAGCAGUGGGGAAUAUUGCACAAUGGGGGAAACCCUGAUGCAGCGACGCCGCGUGAGCGAAGAAGGCUUUCGGGUCGUAAAGCUCUGUCCUAAGGGAAGAUAGUGACGGUACCUUAGGAGGAAGCCCCGGCUAACUACGUGCCAGCAGCCGCGGUAAUACGUAGGGGGCGAGCGUUAUCCGGAAUUAUUGGGCGUAAAGGGUUCGCAGGUGGCCUGAUAAGUCAGAUGUGAAAGGCAGUGGCUCAACCAUUGCAAGCAUUU